UGAGCUAUGGAGAUGGUUCAACUUCCAGAGGCUUCCUCAUAAAUUUUUGGAAUUUUUGAGACACAGAUAAACUUCGGGUGAUCGAGAUCAACUAUUUUCCUGCAUCCAGCAGCCACAAUAGUCGACGGUGUACAGCUACAGGAGGAGACAUUUUUCAGAAUAACCUGUCCCUUUCCUCUCAGGUUAUGAAAAGAUUACUUAAUUGUAUUAUUAUUCUCUAAAUUUGUAAUUUAGGACUCCGCAUGUGCUAGUAGUAGCAUUAAGCCUAUCAGAGACUGUAUGAAUUCAAGUUUUCAUAUUAAUAAAUGAAAAGAAAAAAAUUUUAUGA